UUCAUUAAGUCCAAUUAAUUUGUAAUAAAUAAUAAAAAAAUAAAAAAAUCUUAUAUAAAUAUUAAUUGGAUCUUUAUAAAAUUUUAAAAAAAUCUUAAUCAAAUCGUAAAUAAAUUCUAAUCAAAUCCUAGACAAAUUUUAGACAAAUCUUAAACAAAUUUUAGUCGAAUCCUAGUCAAAUCUUAGACAAAUCCUAUUCAAAUCAUAGACAAAUAUUAAGCAAAUCUUAAACAAAUCCUUAUCAAAUCUUAGACAAAUUUUAAUCAAAUCCUAGACAAACCUUAAUUAAAUCUUAAAAAAAUCUUAAUCAAAUUCUAAUCAAAUCUUAGACAAAUCCUAAAUAAAUCCUAAUCAAAUCCUAAAUCCUAAAUCAAUCCUAAAUCUUAAAUAAAUUCUUACUAAAUCCUAUGGUAGAUUUAAACCUCUAUAAUUAAUAAUCAAACUAUUGAUUUUAACUCAAAUUUUUCAUAUCUCUCAAUAACUAAGUUGGCAAUAAGCACAAACAUUUUUAAGAA
rnacentral:lncRNA from 1 species